rnacentral:rRNA from 1 species
GAUGAACGCUGGCGGCGUGCCUAAUACAUGCAAGUCGAGCGAACGGACGGGAAGCUUGCUCCUCUGAUGUUAGCGGCGGACGGGUGAGUAACACGUGGAUAACCUACCUAUAAGACUGGGAUAACUUCGGGAAACCGGAGCUAAUACCGGAUAAUAUUUUGAACCGCAUGGUUCAAAAGUGAAAGACGGUCUUGCUGUCACUUAUAGAUGGAUCCGCGCUGCAUUAGCUAGUUGGUAAGGUAACGGCUUACCAAGGCAACGAUGCAUAGCCGACCUGAGAGGAUGAUCGGCCACACUGGAACUGAGACACGGUCCAGACUCCUACGGGAGGCAGCAGUAGGGAAUAUUCCGCAAUGGGCGAAAGCCUGAUGGAGCAAUGCCGCGUGAGUGAUGAAGGUCUUCGGAUCGUAAAACUCUGUUAUUAGGAAAGAACAUAUGUGUAAGUAACUGUGCACAUCUUGACGGUACCUAAUCAGAAAGCAACGGCUAACUACGUG